AAAGUACCAUCUGGACAAUGUUUCGUUUCACAAAUGAUGCUCUGCGUAUAUAUCUGAUCAAGGUUUAUGGUCAAAUUUUUGUAUACAGGAUAAAAGAAAAGAGAAAAAAAAAUAAACAAAUCAAGAUCUUAAGUAAAACCAAUACAUCUAAAAUACAUUUAUUUUACUAUGUAUUACCAAAGUAUGAACAGGAUUUGAAAAGGAGUG